UUAGCUGCAUACCCUGGUGGCACACAUCUCCAAGUUUGCACUAAUACCUCUCCCUCAACCUAAGGUUACAUUGGGGCCAGGUGUAGUGGCUCACACCUGUAAUACCAGCAUUUUGGGAGGCUGAGGUGGGAGGAUCAUGAGGUCAAGAGAUAGAGACCAUCCUGGCCAAUAUGGUGAAACCCCAUCUCUACUUAUACAAAAAUUAUCUGGCCAUGGUAGCCCAUGCCUGUAGUCCCAGCUACUUAGGAGAAUGAGGCAGGAGAAUCGCUUGAACCUGGGUGGCAGAGGUUACAGUGAACAGAGAUCAUGCUGCUGCACUCCAGCCUGGUGACAGAGCAAGACUCAGUCUCAAAAAAAAAAAAAAAAAGUUACAUUGGGUGUCCCAGCUGUUAGAGGAGAGAAAAGGCUGAGUCUGCUUAAUGGGUGAGCUAGUUCAGUAUAUGGUUGCAAAAAUAAAAAAGACUUUUUGCUGCUAUAGAUGGACUGAAAAAUCACAACAACUAGAUAGCAUUAUUUCCCUCCAUUAGCCUGUUUUACAUUACUUAUACUCUAGGCUAUAACCUCUGAUCAGUCCUCUUUUGUCACUAUACCACAGUUCUAUUCCUGACCAGUCCUGCUUCUCUCACAGCCUAGAUGUUAUUACCCAAAACAGGCUUUUAGUAAACCUCCUGCAAGCAAGUAUCUGCCUAAGCACUGGAUUUUCAGAGAAAGCUGACUCAAGAUACUAUCUGAUUUGAGACGUAUACUUAGGAAAAACCUGAGCAAGUUGUUGUUUGUUUUUUUUUUUUACAGUAUUGCUGCUCAUAAAGUAGCACCAAUUCUGCAGCUGAACUCUUACGUUUCUGAGAGACCAUCCACCUUCAGAUGAUCAUGCAACAAAGAUUCCAGCAAGUUCCAGGUGAAGACACCACACCUCACCAUCAAGAAGCUACCUUGUCUCCACUAGACAGAGGAGGAAUUGUUGGACAAACUGAUCUCACUUGAGAUGAUUACCAGCAGGGGAGAUAUUAUUUCAAUACAAUCAAAGACUACCAAUGGAACACAUGGAAAUACCCUGUAACUCUUUUAAAUCUAGUCCAGAGAUGUCAAGCAGAAUGAGCUGAAGUCUUGAAGAAAAAGGAAAGAUGGAUUGUCCAUGGAGAACACAUAUUUAUUUCCUACUAUAAACUAGGAACUGUCUAUAUUAAUAUGGUCAAUAACAUUGUGAAAUAGGUGGG
rnacentral:lncRNA from 13 species